CAGCAGCCCAUCGGUCACAGUCAGGGCCCCACUAAAACUUCCACCGCGUCCUCCGACAUAGCCCCCGGAGGAUGAGGACACGAUGCGGGUCGAGGACACGGACACGCCACGGCCACCUGAGCCCCCAUGGAUGCUAGGACCAUGAGCACCAUUGCCUGGUGAACUUCAACAACAGCCUCCAGAUGACAGGAAGGUUGUCCCCAACCCAGGGGCUCAGAGAAGUAAGGCGGGUUGUCUGAGGUCACGUGCCUCCUGAAGAGAGCCAAGAUCACCUCCCAGGUCCUGGCUAUGGGGUGCAGACUCUCCAUCUCCAUCUGGAUACAUUCCAGAAGGUUUUCCACUUAGAGAAGAUAUCUACUUCUCACAGGAGAGCAGUUCAAAGACAGGGUCUCCUGUAUCCCAGGCUGGCUUCCGUAGCCACAGAUGGUCUCGAACUUUUGGCUCCAUUUUCUGGAUACUGCGAUCUCAGGCACCUGCCACUUUAUGCAGUGCUGGAAAUCUAUCACAGAGCCCGGGACACAUUAAGCACUCGUCCUAGAGACUGAGCCACAACCCCGGUCAAAAGUGGCAGAGUUGCAUCUUCUCAAGCGUUGGGAAAACUACAGGGAGGCAAGUUGCAGCAGCCAGGUGACAGGCGUAUAUGAAUACGGAUGUCAGCAUGUUGAUAAGGAAAAGUCCUGCCCAACUGCAUGGAAGGUUUCUUCAGGGAGAAGCUGAUUAAAGGGCAGAAGUGGACAUUGAUCUGUGGGGCUUCCAUUUUUGCAAGAAUGUAUCUGUGCCUGGUUGGUUUAAAUUAAAUACUAUCCAAGAAA